rnacentral:rRNA from 1 species
GACGAACGCUGGCGGCGUGCCUAAUACAUGCACGUCGAACGAGUGGCGGACGGGUGAGUAAUGUCUGGGAAACUGCCCGAUGGAGGGGGGUAACUACUGGAAACGGUAGCUAAUACCGCAUACCAUCGGAUGUGCCCAGAUGGGAUUAGCUAGUAGGGGGGGUAACGGCUGACCUAGGCGACGAUCCCUAGCUGGUCUGAGAGGAUGACCAGCCACACUGGAACUGAGACACGGUCCAGACGCCGACGGGAGGCAGCAGUGGGGAAUAUUGCACAAUGGGCGCAAGCCUGAGGCAGCUAUGCCGCGGGUAUGAAGAAGGCCUUAGGGUUGUAAAGUACUUUCAGCGAGGAGGCGUUACUCGCAGAAGAAGCACCGGCUAACUCCGUGCCAGCAGCCGCGGUAAUUC